rnacentral:snRNA from 1 species
GUGCUCAUUUCGGCAGCACAUAUACUAAAAAUUGGAAGGAUACAGAGAAGAUUAACAUGGCCCCUGGGCAAGGAUGACACGCAAAUUCAUGAAGCAUUCCAUAUUUUU